rnacentral:rRNA from 1 species
CCUACAGGUGGCAGCAGUGAGGAAUAUUGGUCAAUGGGCGCGAGCCUGAACCAGCCAAGUCGCGUGAGGGAGGACGGCCCUACGGGUUGUAAACCUCUUUUGCCGGGGAGCAACGGGCGCCACGUGUGGCGCCACUGAGAGUACCCGGAGAAAAAGCAUCGGCUAACUCCGUGCCAGCAGCCGCGGUAAUACGGAGGAUGCGAGCGUUAUCCGGAUUUAUUGGGUUUAAAGGGUGCGUAGGCGGAUCGUUAAGUCAGUGGUCAAAUUGAGGGGCUCAACCCCUUCCCGCCAUUGAAACUGGCGAUCUUGAGUGGAAGAGAAGUAUGCGGAAGGCGUGGUGUAGCGGUGAAAUGCAUAGAUAUCACGCAGAACCCCGAUUGCGAAGGCAGCAUGCCGGCUUCCGACUGACGCUGAAGCACGAAAGCGUGGGGAUCGAACAGGAUUAGAUACCCGGGUAGUC